rnacentral:lncRNA from 1 species
GCCCGCGCCCUUCGAAGUGGUCUUCGUGUCAGCCGACGGCAGCUCCCAGGAGAUGCUGGACUUCAUGCGCGAGCUGCAUGGCGCCUGGCUGGCGCUGCCCUUCCACGACCCCUACCGGCAGUGAGUCAUUGGACACCACAGGGAGCAGGUCCGGACUGCCGGGGUGGGGGCUGUGUCCAUUGGUUCUUUGGGGAAUAGGCCUGUCCUGGCAGGGGUCAUGCAGCCCCAGAAAGGCCACAGCCCUCCCAACAGUGUCCCCUCAAGGAGGUUCAGUCCACACUGGGCCUGUGUAAUGACCAGUGAGCUGAGGAAGAGGUACAACGUCACAGCCAUCCCCAAGCUUGUGAUUGUGAAACAAAAUGGGGAGGUCAUCACCAACAAAGGGCGGAAGCAGAUCCGGGAACGGGGGUUGGCCUGCUUCCAGGACUGGGUGGAGGCGGCCGAUAUCUUCCAGAAUUUCUCCGUUUGAAGUGGGAGGGACCUCAGAGGGCCAGGACAGGUGCUGCUUCUCCAGCACCGACGCUGGGGCAAAGAGGAGCAUGUUGGGUUCCUUCCUCUGUUGGUGUGAUUUCAUUGUAUUUCAGAGCAGAAGCACUAAGCUGUGGUCAAAAAGCAACUAUUGCUCAGGAAAUAAUACACUCCAUAUUUUGAUCAUGCAGGCUGUUUGUAUUAUAGUUAUUUUUGUUAUUCUUUGCAUACCUUUAUCCACCUGUGCUUAAGGAAGGAUCCUCAUAUGUUCAUACUGAGCUGUUGGAAAUCUAUGCAAGACAUUUAUUUGUACAAGUCUCUUCAGGUAAAAUAAUAUAUUUAUUGAUAACAUUUUCUGGCGAUCUGUUUAUUUUAAUGGUAUGCUUUCACAACUAUCUUAAUAAAGUUUGCAAGCUGUGUACUUUAA